CGCCUCCGCCCCUCGGCCCCAGCGGUGCAUGCAAGGAACCCAUGCCG
rnacentral:rRNA from 1 species